UCUCCAGUGGAUUUUCUGGUUUGGGAUUGGCUGCACAAAAUGACCAAAUUAUGGCUUCAGCAAGAAUGACCAGAAUCAAAUCGCCAAUGUAAAACUAUGUAAAGACAUGUGUAUAACUCUGUAACACAGCAUGUCUCCACAAUUACCAAACCGAAUUGGAUGCAGAAGGGAGCUAUGUGAGGCACCUUAGCACAUACCAUCCAGAGUUUACAGUUCACUUCUCCAACAUUUUGACGGGCAAAAUUGAAAAUAGUACUUCUCAAAAGGAU